AACCGAGUCUGAACAGGGCGAACAGUCACGGGGUGCAGACCCGAAACCGAGUGAGCUAUCCAUGGUCAGGUUGAAGCGUCGGUAAAACGACGUGGAGGACCGCACCGACUUAGGUUGAAAACUGAGCGGAUGAAUUGUGGAUAGGGGUGAAAGGCCAAUCAAACUUGGAGAUAGCUCGUACUCCCCGAAAUAUAUUUAGGUA
rnacentral:rRNA from 1 species